UACGUAGGGUGCAAGCGUUAAUCGGAAUUACUGGGCGUAAAGGGUUUGUAGGUGGCUUGCUAAGUCAGACGUGAAAUCCCUCAGCUUAACUGGGGAACUGCGUCUGAUACUGGCGAGCUUGAGUGCAGGAGAGGAACGCGGAAUUCCAGGUGUAGCGGUGAAAUGCGUAGAUAUCUGGAGGAACACCGGUGGCGAAGGCGGCGUUCUGGACUGUAACUGACACUGAGAAACGAAAGCCAGGGUAGCAAACGGG
rnacentral:rRNA from 1 species